rnacentral:rRNA from 1 species
UACGGAGGGUGCAAGCGUUAUCCGGAUUCACUGGGUUUAAAGGGUGCGUAGGCGGGUAAGGAAGUCCGUGGUGAAAUCUCUGAGCUUAACUCAGAAACUGCCGUGGAUACUAUUUGCCUUGAAUAUUGUGGAGGUGAGCGGAAUAUGUCAUGUAGCGGUGAAAUGCUUAGAUAUGACAUAGAACACCAAUUGCGAAGGCAGCUCACUACACAAAUAUUGACACUGAUGCACGAAAGCGUGGGGAUCAAACAGG